AACGAACGCUGGCGGCAUGCCUAACACAUGCAAGUCGAACGAUGCUUUCGGGCAUAGUGGCGCACGGGUGCGUAACGCGUGGGAAUCUGCCCUUGGGUUCGGAAUAACAGUGAGAAAUUGCUGCUAAUACCGGAUGAUGUCUUCGGACCAAAGAUUUAUCGCCCAGGGAUGAGCCCGCGUAGGAUUAGCUAGCUGGUGGGGUAAUGGCCUACCAAGGCGACGAUCCUUAGCUGGUCUGAGAGGAUGAUCAGCCACACUGGGACUGAGACACGGCCCAGACUCCUACGGGAGGCAGCAGUGGGGAAUAUUGGACAAUGGGCGCAAGCCUGAUCCAGCAAUGCCGCGUGAGUGAUGAAGGCCUUAGGGUUGUAAAGCUCUUUUACCCGGGAUGAUAAUGACAGUACCGGGAGAAUAAGCUCCGGCUAACUCCGUG
rnacentral:rRNA from 1 species